AUUGAGCGCUGGCGGCAUGCCUUACACAUGCAAGUCGAACGCGAAAGGGGGGCAACUCCUAAGUAGAGUGGCGCACGGGUGAGUAAUGCAUCGGAACGUGUCCUGUAGCGGGGGAUAACCUAGCGAAAGCUAGGCUAAUACCGCAUACGUCCUACGGGAGAAAGUGGGGGAUCGUAAGACCUCACACUAUAGGAGCGGCCGAUGCCGGAUUAGCUAGUUGGUGGGGUAAAAGCCUACCAAGGCGACGAUCCGUAGCUGGUCUGAGAGGAUGAUCAGCCACACUGGGACUGAGACACGGCCCAGACUCCUACGGGAGGCAGCAGUGGGGAAUUUUGGACAAUGGGGGAAACCCUGAUCCAGCCAUGCCGCGUGAGUGAAGAAGGCCUUCGGGUUGUAAAGCUCUUUCGGCCGGGACGAAAUCGCACGCGUGAAUAUCGCGUGUGGAUGACGGUACCGGAAGAAGAAGGACCGGCUAACUACGUGCCAGCCGCCGCCGUAA
rnacentral:rRNA from 1 species